rnacentral:rRNA from 1 species
UACGUAGGGGGCAAGCGUUGUCCGGAAUCAUUGGGCGUAAAGAGCGUGUAGGCGGCUCGGUAAGUCCGCUGUAAAAGUCCAGGGCUCAACCCUGGAAAGCCGGUGGAAACUGUCGAGCUAGAGUCCGGAAGAGGCGAGUGGAAUUCCUGGUGUAGCGGUGAAAUGCGCAGAUAUCAGGGGGAACACCAAUGGCGAAGGCAGCUCGCUGGGACGGUACUGACGCUGAGACGCGAAAGCGUGGGGAGCAAACAGG